rnacentral:tRNA from 1 species
GCCGGAGUGGCGGAAUGGCAGACGCAUCCGACUUAAAAUCGGCCGACUGUAAAAGGUCAUGUGGGUUCGACUCCCACCUUCGGCACCA